rnacentral:ncRNA from 1 species
AACUGAAAUUGAACGUGCCGAUAUAUUGUCCGGUGACGUUUGUUAUAAGAAGCCAAA